GUGAGAGUGUACUCACCAACCACGGUCUGUCUGUGAGAGUGUACUCACCAACCACGGUCUGUCUGAGAUGUACUCACUCAACCACGGUCUGAAGAUACUGUCAGAAAUACCUUUUUUUUUUUUUUUAAUUUUAAAAUGUGGACAGGAUGAGAAGCUACUGUUAACUAAUUAAAGAUCCCCUCUCUAAUCAUAAAGACUGAGGCUCUAUCUGGAAAGUGUGUGGCAUAACAAAUAGUCCAUAUCCCAGUGGUGUUACAGGUCCCAUAGAGAGACAGACUGGGAACAUACUUAUUAAGCCCAUGCCACUCAAGAUCCUCCUCUCUCCCUCCCCAAACCAAUCAACAAACUCAUACAUCACUACGGAGGAGGGGUGAGAGAAUAAAUGGCAGGCAGUGAUAACCGAGCAGUGAUAACAGAGUAAAAUAAAUCUGUUGGUUUUCUUUUAAUAUUUAAUGACUUUACACCCAGCAAACCUGUGUGUGUGUGUGUGG
ensembl:lncRNA